rnacentral:rRNA from 1 species
UACGGAGGGUGCAAGCGUUAUCCGGAUUCACUGGGUUUAAAGGGUGCGUAGGCGGGUUGGUAAGUCCGUGGUGAAAUCUCCAAGCUUAACUUGGCAACUGCCGUGGAUACUAUCAAUCUUGAAUAUAGUGGAGGUGAGCGGAAUAUGUCAUGUAGCGGUGAAAUGCGUAGAUAUCCGUAGGAACAUCCGAGGCGAAGGCGGCUCGCUGGAUCACAACUGACGCUGAGGGACGAAAGCUAGGGGAGCAAACAGG